rnacentral:SRP_RNA from 1 species
GCCGGGCGUGGUGGUGGACGCCUGUAAUCCCAGUUACUCGGGAGGCUGAGGCAGGAGAAUCGCUUGAACCUGGGAGGCGGAGGUUGCAGUGAGCCAAGAUCGCGCCACUGCACUCCAGCCUGGGUGACAGAGUGAGACUCUGUUUCAA